CUGGCGGCGUGCCUAACACAUGCAAGUCGAACGAGAAAGUGGAGCAAUCCAUGAGUAAAGUGGCGACCGGGUGAGUAACACGUGACUAACCUACCUUCGAGUGGGGAAUAACUCCGGGAAACCGGGGCUAAUACCGCAUAACAUCGCAAGAUCAAAGCAGCAAUGCGCUUGAAGAGGGGGUCGCGGCUGAUUAGCUAGUUGGCGGGGUAACGGCCCACCAAGGCGAAGAUCGGUAUCCGGCCUGAGAGGGCGCACGGACACACUGGAACUGAAACACGGUCCAGACUCCUACGGGAGGCAGCAGUGGGGAACUUUGCGCAAUGGGGGAAACCCUGACGCAGCAACGCCGCGUGGAGGAUGAAGCCCCUUGGGGCGUAAACUCCUUUCGACCAAGACGAUAAUGACGGUACUGGUGGAAGAAGCACCGGCUAACUCUGUGCCAGCAGCCGCGGUAAUACAGAAGGUGCGAGCGUUGUUCGGAA
rnacentral:rRNA from 1 species